rnacentral:rRNA from 1 species
AAUAGAUACCCGGGUAGUCCACGCCGUAAACGAUGAGUGCUAGGUGUUAGGGGGGAUCACCCCUUAGUGCUGCAGUUAACGCGAUAAGCACUCCGCCUGGGGAGUACGGCCGCAAGGCUGAAACUCAAAGGAAUUGACGGGGGCCCGCACAAGCAGUGGAGCAUGUGGUUUAAUUCGAAGCAACGCGAAGAACCUUACCAGGUCUUGACAUCCUCUGACCACCCUGGAGACAGGGCUUCCCCUUCGGGGGCAGAGUGACAGGUGGUGCAUGGUUGUCGUCAGCUCGUGUCGUGAGAUGUUGGGUUAAGUCCCGCAACGAGCGCAACCCUUAAUCUUAGUUGCCAGCAUUCAGUUGGGCACUCUAAGGUGACUGCCGGUGACAAACCGGAGGAAGGUGGGGAUGACGUCAAAUCAUCAUGCCCCUUAUGACCUGGGCUACACACGUGCUACAAUGGAUGGUACAAUGGGCUGCGAGCCGCGAGGUUUAGCCAAUCCCAUAAAGCCAUUCUCAGUUCGGAUUGC